rnacentral:rRNA from 1 species
AGACGUCUACAUUAGAUACCCCUGUAGUCCCAGCCGUAAACUAUGCGCGUUAGGUGUAUCGGUGACCACGAGUCACCGAGGUGCCGAAGGGAAACCGUGAAACGUGCCGCCUGGGAAGUACGGUCGCAAGGCCGAAACUUAAAGGAAUUGGCGGGGAGCACCACAACGGGUGGAGCCUGCGGUUUAAUUGGACUCAACGCCGGGAAGCUCACCGGAUAAGACAGCGGAAUGAUUGCCGGGCUGAAGACUCUGCAUGACUAGCUG